AGAGUUUGAUCCUGGCUCAGGACGAACGCUGGCGGCGUGCUUAACACAUGCAAGUCGAGCGAUGAAACACCUUCGGGUGUGAAUUAGCGGCGAACGGGUGAGGAACACGUGAAGAAUCUGCCUUCAACUCUGGGAUAACUCCAGGAAACCGGGGCUAAUACCGGAUAUGAGCCUCGAUUGCAUGAUUGGGGCUGGAAAGUUUUUCGGUUGAAGAUGACUUCGCGGCCUAUCAGCUUGUUGGUGAGGUAAUGGCUCACCAAGGCGACGACGGGUAGCCCGGCCUGAGAGGGCCACCGGCCACACUGGGACUGAGACACGGCCCAGACUCCUACGGGAGGCAGCAGUGGGGAAUAUUGGGCAAUGGAGGAAACUCUGACCCAGCGACGCCGCGUGAGGGAUGAAGGCCUUCGGGUUGUAAACCUCUUUCAGUAGGGAAGAAGCCGAAAGUGACGGUCCUACAGAAGAAGCACCGGCUAACUAUGUGCCAGCAGCCGCGGUAAUACAUAGGGUGCAAGCCUUGUCCGGAAUUAUCGGCGUAAAGAGCUCGAGCGAAAGCGUGGGGAGCGAACAGGAUUAGAUACCCUGGUAGUCCACGCCGUAAACGGUGGGCGCUAGUUGUGCGAACCUUCCACGGUUUGUGCGACGCAGCUAACGCAUUAAGCGCCCCGCCUGGGGAGUACGAUCGCAAGAUUAAAACUCAAAGGAAUUGACGGGGCCCCGCACAAGCAGCGGAGCAUGCGGCUUAAUUCGACGCAACGCGAAGAACCUUACCAAGGCUUGACAUAUACAGGAAUAUGGCAGAGAUGUCAUAGCCGCAAGGUCUGUAUACAGGUGGUGCAUGGUUGUCGUCAGCUCGUGUCGUGAGAUGUUGGGUUAAGUCCCGCAACGAGCGCAACCCUCGUUCUGUGUUGCCAGCAUUUAGUUGGGGACUCACAGGAGACUGCCGGGGUUAACUCGGAGGAAGGUGGGGAUGACGUCAAAUCAUCAUGCCCCUUAUGUCUUGGGCUGCACGCAUGCUACAAUGGCUGGUACAAACGGCUGCGAUACCGCAAGGUGGAGCGAAUCCGAGAAAGCCAGUCUCAGUUCGGAUUGGGGUCUGCAACUCGACCCCAUGAAGUCGGAGUUGCUAGUAAUCGUAGAUCAGCAACGCUACGGUGAAUACGUUCCCGGGGCUUGUACACACCGCCCGUCACAUCACGAAAGUCGGUAACACCCAAAGUCAGUGGCCCAACCGCAAGGAGGGAGCUGCCAAAGGUGGGAUCGGUGAUUGGGAUGAAGUCGUAACAAGGUA
rnacentral:rRNA from 1 species